ACGCUCGACACCUACGGAGGCAGCAGUGGGGAAUAUUGCACAAUGGGGGAAACCCUGAUGCAGCGACGCCGCGUGAGUGAAGAAGUAUUUCGGUAUGUAAAGCUCUAUCAGCAGGGAAGAGAAUGACGGUACCUGACUAAGAAGCCCCGGCUAACUACGUGCCCGCAGCCGCGGUAAUCUGAGCGGGCUGGCAAGGC
rnacentral:rRNA from 1 species